rnacentral:rRNA from 1 species
AUUGAACGCUGGCGGCAUGCUUUACACAUGCAAGUCGAACGGCAGCGCGGGGCAACCUGGCGGCGAGUGGCGAACGGGUGAGUAAUAUAUCGGAACGUACCCAAGAGUGGGGGAUAACGUAGCGAAAGUUACGCUAAUACCGCAUACGAUCUAAGGAUGAAAGUGGGGGAUCGCAAGACCUCAUGCUCCUGGAGCGGCCGAUAUCUGAUUAGCUAGUUGGUGAGGUAAAGGCUCACCAAGGCGACGAUCAGUAGCUGGUCUGAGAGGACGACCAGCCACACUGGAACUGAGACACGGUCCAGACUCCUACGGGAGGCAGCAGUGGGGAAUUUUGGACAAUGGGCGCAAGCCUGAUCCAGCAAUGCCGCGUGAGUGAAGAAGGCCUUCGGGUUGUAAAGCUUUUUUGUCAGGGAAGAAACGGUAGAGGCUAAUAUCCUUUGCUAAUGACGGUACCUGAAGAAUAAGCACCGGCUAACUACGUG